CGCAUGGGGUGAGGAGCCCAGGGACCGUGGCUGGACUGCAGGGUGGACCCAGCUUCCCCUCUACCUGCUAUUCCUCUGUUUACUGCACAUAAAAAUAGAUGAGAUUUAUGCAGAAUCCACCUUCUUUGUGACUAGUGCAUGCUUCUCCAAGCUUAACUCCUUAAAGCUCCUGUCAUUCGCAUUAAAUCUCAGGGGGGCAUAACUGGGAUUUAGAAACUCCCUGCUAUUUACCAGCGACAGAAUCUUACUAUGUUGCCCAGGCUGGAGUGCAGUAGAUUUUUACAGGUGAGAUCACAGUGCACAAAGGCCUCGACCUCCUGGCCUCAAGUGAACCCCCUCCACAUCACUCUCCUGAAUAGCUGGUACUACAGACACACACCACUGUGCCCAGCUGUUUUGUUGUUGUUAUUUAAUCUUCUUUUAUUGUUAAACUGAAAAUCUCAACAAAUAUUAACAAUAAUCUCAAAGUUAGCCAUUACUAAUGAAUUUUUACCUAUGAUAUAUGAGUUAGUUAUAUAUGGCCUUUUGUGUUUUACACAAUAUUUUCAUGUGUAUGUGCCUCCUCCUUUAAACUUUAGGAAAUUUUUAUAAAAUAUUGCUAUUUGUGUUCCAAUCUUUCACAAAUAUAGGCUUUGAAACUCAGAGUUCAGUUGAUGUGUCAAAGAGAGUAUCGCUGAUCAGUAAUGAACUCCAUACUAAAAUUGAGGUUGUCUUUUUCACAUCUUCAUUGCUAUCACUCUUCAUUAGCUUGUUAUGUUCUUUCUUCUGUUAUUCACCUGCAAGCUCUGUUACUUUAGUGAUGCAUUUAAUUUUAAAGUUUGUUUUUAUUUUAAAUAUUGAUAUGACUAAAAAAUCUAAAAUCACAGUCUAGUACAAAUAAAAUUUAAAAAUCAACCAUAAUGUAAUAGUUCAGAUAGAAACAAAACUUUAAAAUUCAUGUCUUGACUUCAUACUAUGAAUAUUUAUGAAGUGUACACCAUGUAGCAGACAGUUGGAAUAAAAUAGGUAACUAGGUGGAAGCAACUCCACCCUCUUGGAUCUUGCAGACAAGUAUUUCUGAACCGUUUUCUGUGCGUGUGUUCUAGAAUGAUGUUGAUCAUGUUACCAUGUCACGGAAGUCUUUUCAUGAAAACGUUUGUCCAGAUGGUGUCUGUCUUCUGUUUGUUGGGCCCACACUUUAGGGCUGGUGUCUCCGCUGACUUCUAGGGCUUCAGCCCGCAGAGAGCUUGUCCUGACUCCUGUGCUACCUGGUUUCCUGUAAGGCUAUGAGAGGGCAGGCCCUGGUGGAACACUGGAGAGCAGGAGAAAGAAGGAAACUGUGUCUUAUUUCCUGCUUCUGGUGAUGAUCUGUGGCGGCAGCAGCAGCAACUGCAGGCAGCAGGGGUCCUGAGGGAGUUGUGGGCUUACAGUCAGUUUCAGCUGCAUUUGUGGGGAUGCAGGGCAUCUAAGUUGCCGCAUAUCAGCAUGGGAAAGUCACACAAGCAGCCCUGGGCGUGCGGUCUCCAUCAGCUCAGCACUGAGGAGCAUAUGAGGCGCCACUGGUGACAACUCCUGGUCUGUGAGUGAUAACACUCGGCUCCUUGCUGCAUCAGCCUUCCCUCCAGCCCUUUGUGCCACCCUGUAACCACUUUUGUACAUUAAAUCUAUUCUAUUUAAAAUAGGUUAAGUGUAUAUAUGUGACUAGACAUUGAUAUCCUAUCAAAUUAAUUAUACCACAAUUAAAAUCCAAAUAGUGGUUAUUUAGGUUGUGUUCAAAUUUCUAAGUGAUAAAUUGUUUGACAUUUUUAAUAGCUUAUGUACAAAGGAUUCUCUUUUUAUUGUAUAUAUUUAAGGUAUGCAACAUAUUUUUAUAUACAUAGUGAAAUUAUUACUAUUACUACAGUCAAGAAAAUAAGCAUGUCCAUCUUUACUUUGUGUGUGUGUGUGUGUGUGUGUGUCUACAUGUGCUAAGAGCACCUGAAACCUACUCUCUUGGCUACUUCCCAGUGUACAAUACAAUAUUAUUAGCUAUAGUCAUCAAGCUAUACAUUAGAUCUCUAGACUUAUUUAUCCUACACAACUGCAACUUUUAACUCUUUGACCAACAUUUCCGUAUACUCUCCCCCGCCACCUUUCCCAGAUAGCAUUCUCUAAGUGUGUUUUUUCCUAAAGUGAUUUGCAAGAAGAUACAAAGUUUUCAAAUUUCUUAAUAUCCAUAAACUAAAUUCCCUGUCCAAAAAUGUUUUCAACUUGUGUUACAGCAUCACAGCAAUAAACUUUACAUGUACCAGGACUGAAUUCUAUGCACUUUUCCGUCUUAGUCAAUUUGAUAGGUGCAUCAUUGUUCAAUGUGCCUUUUUGAUUACUAAUGUUUACAUGACUUUUGAUGUGUUUAACUGUUGCUUUGUGAAAUAUCUGUCAAAUCCUGUGCGCAUUUUUUCUAUUUCCACAUGUGUAUGUGCAUAUAUAUUUAUAUUUCAUGUGUAUAUAUUAAUAAUUUUUUCUACUUUAUUAAAUUUUAUUGUAUUUUAAGUCCUGGGAUAUAUGUGCAGGAUGUGUGGGUUUGUUGCAUAGGCAAAAGUGUGCCAUGGUGGUUUGCUGCACCCAUCAACCCAUCAUCUAGGUUUUAACUCCCGCAUGCAUUAGGUAUUUGUCCUAAUGCUUUCCCUCCUCUUUCCCCCAACCCCCUACCUGGUUUUUAUUUCUGUAGCUUAUAAACAAAUCUUGAUGUUACUGAAGAUGUGUUAUCUUGUGUCAUUAUUUUAUUUGCUUUUACAGUAUUAAGCAUUCCAGGCUGGGCACAGUGGCUUAUAUCU
rnacentral:lncRNA from 10 species